UAUCCCUGUUCUGGGCAGAGUGGUAUCAACUUCAUGGUGUUCAUUUUAUAUCAACCAGGAGCAAAACAAUCGUAUGUUUAUUCUAGCAUGCUUUUGAUCUAUGCCUAUGCCUAGUUCAUGCCUUGGACACAUCU
ensembl:snoRNA